rnacentral:rRNA from 1 species
CUCAAUUUGUAAUCUGGUGGACUCAGUUCAUCCGAGUUGUAAUCUAUAGAAGUGUUUUCCGCGCUGGACCGUGUCUAAGUCCCUUGGAACAGGGUGUCAGAGAGGGUGAGAAUCCCGUGCUUGAUACGACCACCAGUGCUAUGUGAUACACUUUCAACGAGUCGAGUUGUUUGGGAAUGCAGCUCAAAAUGGGUGGUAAAUUCCAUCUAAAGCUAAAUAUUGGCGAGAGACCGAUAGCGAACAAGUACCGUGAGGGAAAGAUGAAAAGCACUUUGGAAAGAGAGUUAAACAGUACGUGAAAUUGUUAAAAGGGAAACGAUUGAAGUCAGUCGUGCUCU